CCCUUAGAUGUUCUGGGCCGCACGCGCGCUACACUGAUGCAUUCAACGAGCCUAUCCUUGACCGACAGGUCCGGGUAAUCUUUGAAUCUGCAUCGUGACGGGGAUAGAUUAUUGCAAUUAUUAAUCUUCAACGAGGAAUGCCUAGUAGGCGCAAGUCAUCAGCUUGCGUCGAUUACGUCCCUGCCCUUUGUACACACCGCCCGUCACUCCUACCGAUUGGGUGUGCUGGUGAAAUGUUCGGAUCGGCCGUUUGUCGCGGUUUCCGCGUCAUGUGGCUGAGAAGUUCAUUAAACCCUCCCACCUAGAGGAAGGAGAAGUCGUAACA
rnacentral:rRNA from 1 species